rnacentral:rRNA from 1 species
AAUGAACGCUGGCGGCAUGCCUAACACAUGCAAGUCGAACGAAGUCCUUCGGGGCUUAGUGGCGUACGGGUGCGUAACGCGUGGGAAUCUGCCCCUUGGUUCGGCAUAACAGUUGGAAACGACUGCUAAUACCGGAUGAUGACGUAAGUCCAAAGAUUUAUCGCCGAGGGAUGAGCCCGCGUAGGAUUAGGUAGUUGGUGUGGUAAAGGCGCACCAAGCCGACGAUCCUUAGCUGGUCUGAGAGGAUGAUCAGCCACACUGGGACUGAGACACGGCCCAGACUCCUACGGGAGGCAGCAGUGGGGAAUAUUGGACAAUGGGCGAAAGCCUGAUCCAGCAAUGCCGCGUGAGUGAUGAAGGCCUUAGGGUUGUAAAGCUCUUUUACCCGGGAUGAUAAUGACAGUACCGGGAGAAUAAGCACCGGCUAACUCCGUG